rnacentral:rRNA from 1 species
CAGCAGCCGCGGUAAUACGUAGGUGGCAAGCGUUGUCCGGAAUUAUUGGGCGUAAAGGGCUCGCAGGCGGUUUCUUAAGUCUGAUGUGAAAGCCCCCGGCUCAACCGGGGAGGGUCAUUGGAAACCGGGAAACUUGAGUGCAGAAGAGGAGAGUGGAAUUCCACGUGUAGCGGUGAAAUGCGUAGAGAUGUGGAGGAACACCAGUGGCGAAGGCGACUCUCUGGUCUGUAACUGACGCUGAGGAGCGAAAGCGUGGGGAGCGAACAGGAUUAGAUACCCGAGUAGUCCCUGUCUCUUAUAU